rnacentral:tRNA from 1 species
AUGUUUAGGUGAUUUUCAUAUGAAUUUUUGAAAUUCAAGGAUUUUAAUUAUGUAUUAAAAAAACAUAAG